rnacentral:rRNA from 1 species
GAUGAACGCUGGCGGCGUGCUUAACACAUGCAAGUCGAACGGUGAAGGCGGAGCUUGCUCUGCUGGAUCAGUGGCGAACGGGUGAGUAACACGUGAGCAAUCUGCCCCUGACUCUGGGAUAAGCGCUGGAAACGGCGUCUAAUACUGGAUACGAGCUGCGAAGGCAUCUUCAGCAGCUGGAAAGAACUUCGGUCAGGGAUGAGCUCGCGGCCUAUCAGCUUGUUGGUGAGGUACGGCUCACCAAGGCGUCGACGGGUAGCCGGCCUGAGAGGGUGACCGGCCACACUGGGACUGAGACACGGCCCAGACUCCUACGGGAGGCAGCAGUGGGGAAUAUUGCACAAUGGGCGAAAGCCUGAUGCAGCAACGCCGCGUGAGGGACGACGGCCUUCGGGUUGUAAACCUCUUUUAGCAGGGAAGAAGCGAAAGUGACGGUACCUGCAGAAAAAGCGCCGGCUAACUACGUG